CCGGACCUCUGAAAUCCAUUCCAGACCUCCAGAAUCCAUUCCAGCCCCCCCAAAAUCCAUCCCGGACCCCCCGAAUCCAUUCCGGACCUUUGGAAUCCAUUCCGGACACCCCAAAUCCAUUCCAGACCUCCCAAAAUCCAUUCCAGACCUCCCAAAUCCAUUCCGGACCUUUGGAAUCCAUUCCUGACCCAGGGAAUCCAUCCCGGGCCACCCUGAAUCCAUUCCAGACCUCUGAAAUCCGUUCCAGCCCCCCCAAAAUCCAUCCCGGACCCUCGGCUGACCCCUCCCCUCCCCCGCUCCGCUGCUCGGGACCCCUCCGGUGUCACCGGGGGGGACAAAAAUUGGGGAAAACGACCCCAAAAUCUCCUGGGGGGGGUGUCCCGCCCCUCCCCCACAGUAAAGACCCUCCAUGUCCGCCGGCCGCAGUGGGAUCUGUGCCCCUCCCCCUCCCCAAAAAACAAUUUGGGAUUUUGGGGAGGGGUCGCGGUGGGGGAGGGGUCGUGGUGGGGGAGGGGGGGUGGGCACAGCGCUAAAACCGCCCCUCCCCCCCCCCCAUAAAUGAAACCGGGCUGAAUUUUAGGGGGUGGGGGCGGGGCCUGGGGGUUUUGGGGGGGUCUUUUCACCCCCUCCCCCCACCCCACCCCCAUAAAAACAUUUCGGGGAGGGGUCGCGGUGGGGGAGGGGUCGCGGUGGGGGAGGGGGGGAUGGGCACAGCGCUAAACCCGCCCCUCCCCCAUUAAAUCGAACCGGGUUAAAUUUUGGGCGGUGGGGGCGGGGCUGGCGAGGCGGGGGCGGGGCCUGGGGGUGGGGGGGGGUCUGUCCGCCCCCUCCCCCUCCCCAAUUCCCCCUCCCCUCCCCCCCCCGGGGGUUGAACUUCCUGGGUCAGCGCCGCCGCCUUCCCAUUGUCCGAGCGGCGGCGGCGGCGGGGGCGGCCCGGGGGUCGCGGGACCCCCCCCGGCUCCUCCGGGGCUGUUUUUGGGGCGUUUCGGGUUUUUUGGGGUUGGUUGAUUUUGAUUUUUAUUUUUUUGGGGGCGUUUCGGGUUUUUUGGGGUUGGUUGAUUUUGAUUUUUAUUUUUUUGGGGGCGUUUCGGGUUUUUUGGGGUUGGUUGAUUUUUAUUUCUAUUUUUUUGGGGGCGCGGCGAUGUCGCCGAAGCGCUGGAGGGGUG
rnacentral:lncRNA from 1 species